rnacentral:lncRNA from 1 species
CCUGUUUCUUGUUUUCUGAUUCUCGGUCUUUCCACCAUACCAUAAUGUCUUUCUGGGCAGGGAUGCCCACCUCAGACUCCAAGGAGGAAGUGCUGAGCUGGGCUUUGAUGGAUAGAGAGUAAGGAAGCGUCUCUGGGAAGCCAUCAGCACAGUCUCCUUUCCUGAGUGUAAACAAGGAUCCCAGGCCUUUCUUGGGAGCUUUCCGACCCCAGUGAAUAAACGUUCGUCACCCCCACCAGUCUGUUCUGCUUACCCCAACUCUCCACAGCAGUCUCUGCGUGAACGUGGAUGCUCUUGAGGAUCAUACUCCCUCCAUGUGUGUAGGUCAUAUACAUAUGGGGGUGGGGGUGGGGACAUAGUAAUAAUAAUACAUGUCGUAGCACUUUCAUACACAUUCAUUCUCUCAUCUGAUCUUUUAGCAACCCUGACAGAUAAAGAGAGUAGAUAUUUUUAUUCCCUUUCUACUUAUGAAGAAACUAAUCUCAGAGAGGUGGAGGGGCUGAUCUAAUACUGUUUGGUGCCAGAGGGACGCAUUUUAUCUAAAUGUAAAUGUACGCUGCCGGGUGAGACUUCCAUGUAAACAAAGAAAUUGGAUAAUUUUAAUUUUUUGCAUCCUCUAACAACAGCAUAAUGGGUUAGGUAGUUACUUCAUGAGCAAUGUUGAAGAGAAGAAUGAGCAUAUAAGUGGCAUUAUAAUUAUCAUAAAAACCCUCUAAAGAUCCCCAGAUUUCCCAUCUGCAGAUGACACCGGAGGAGGCAGCUCUUUGACGUGGGUGGCUCUGAAUGCUAAUGGAGUUAUUGUUUUCUCCCGUGUACAUCCUGGGACCCAAUGCCCCGUGCGGAGGUGCUGGGGAGGCUGUGUGAGCUGCACACUCCCGCCGUCUUUCAAGGGCAGCUUUAAGGUCACGUUAUUCUCCACAAGGCUGGCACCGCUUCUCUUCUCACCCUGCAGGGUCCCACACUGUCAUCUGUCAAGAGCUUCCUCCAAAUUUCAAUGCAGAUGAAAUUCACCCAGACCAUGUGUGACUGCA